UGGAUGGACCCGCGGUGCAUUAGCUAGUUGGUGGGGUAACGGCCUACCAAGGCUGCGAUGCAUAGCCGACCUGAGAGGGUGAUCGGCCACACUGGGACUGAGACAUGGCCCAGACUCCUACGGGAGGCAGCAGUAGGGAAUCUUCGGCAAUGGACGCAAGUCUGACCGAGCAACGCCGCGUGAGUGAAGAAGGUUUUCGGAUCGUAAAACUCUGUUGUUAGAGAAGAACAAGGAUGAGAGUGGAAAGUUCAUCCCUUGACGGUAUCUAACCAGAAAGCCACGGCUAACUACGUGCCAGCAGCCGCGGUAAUACGUAGGCGGCAAGCGUUGUCCGGAUUUAUUGGGCGUAAAGCGAGCGCAGGCGGUCUUUUAAGUCUGAUGUGAAAGCCCCCGGCUUAACCGGGGAGGGUCAUUGGAAACUGGGAGACUUGAGUGCAGAAGAGGAAAGCGGAAUUCCAUGUGUAGCGGUGAAAUGCGUAGAUAUAUGGAGGAACACCAGUGGCGAAGGCGGCUUUCUGGUCUGUAACUGACGCUGAGGCUCGAAAGCGUGGGGAGCAAACAGGAUUAGAUACCCUGGUAGUCCACGCCGUAAACGAUGAGUGCUAAGUGUUGGAGGGUUUCCGCCCUUCAGUGCUGCAGCAAAC
rnacentral:rRNA from 1 species